GGCAGUUCUCCGGUGACACACCCUGGAAUUGGGCUCCCUCCUCUCUGGUUCUGGGGUGCAUCACCCAAGAACCACU
rfam:Myotis davidii contig15031, whole genome shotgun sequence.